CUGACCAUGCAAAAUGAUCGCUGGGUUUUUUAACCUGGAGGAAAGUCCGAACACCACAGGACAGGACGCUCCAUAACGUGGAGUCACGGUGACGUGAAGGAAAGUGCAACAGAGAGUAGACCGCCUGGGUUGGUAUCCAAUCCGGGUAAGGGUGAAACGGUGCGGUAAGAGCGCACCAGUUUUCCAGGUGACUGGAAAAGCUUGGUAAACCCCGUCCGGUGCAAGACCAAAUAGGGAAACGCUUGAGGGUUGUCCGCCCAAGUUUUCGGGUAGGUCGCAUGAGGUGUGCGGUAACGUACAUCCCAGAUGAAUGAUCGUUGACCUGCUUAAGGUAACGAGAGCAGGUAACAGAAUUCGGCUUAUCAACGGGUCAGGCCG
rnacentral:RNase_P_RNA from 1 species